AAAUAAAUAAAUAAAAUA
rnacentral:sRNA from 1 species